GUGCUAAGGUAGCAUAAUCAUUUGUUUCUUAAUUGGUAACUGGAAUGAACGGUUGAGCUGGUUUGAUAAGUGUGUAUGUUUAAAUAGAAAAUUAAAGUCAAGGUAAGAAUUCUUUGAUAAUUUAGGGGACGAUAAGACCCUAUAAGCUUGAUAAAUGUAUUGUGGGUUUGUUUUUUAAGUUAGUUUGUUUUACUGGGGUGGUACUGAUGGUUUAACUAUUAGUUAACUUAAGAUCCUAAAAAUAUAGAUGGUGCGGAAAAGUUACUUUAGGGAUAACAGUGCAAUAUUUUUGGUGAGGUCUUAUCUAUAAAUAUGUUUGCAACCUCGAUGUUGAAUUA
rnacentral:rRNA from 1 species